GACGAACGUUGGCGGCGUGCUUAAUACAUGCAAGUCAACUGAAGCAGUGGUAGCAAUAUCGCUGUGGAGGUGGCGCACGGGUGAGUAACACGUAGGUAAUCUGCCUUCAGGUCUGGCAUAACUCCGGGAAACCGGGGCUAAUAGCAGAUGAUGCAGCGGCUCGACAUCGAGACAGUUGUUAAAGCUAUGGCGCCUGAAGAUGAGCCUGCGUCUGAUUAGCUAGUUGGCGGGGUAACGGCCCACCAAGGCAACGAUCAGUAGCUGGUCUGAGAGGAUGAUCAGCCACACUGGAACUGAGAGACGGGCCAGACUCCUACGGGAGGCAGCAGUAAGGAAUAUUGCUCAAUGGGAGAAAUACUGAAGCAGCAACGCCGCGUGAGGGACGAAGGGCUGUUGCUUGUAAACCUCUGUAGUGAGAGAAAAAAAUCCCAAUCUUUGGGACAUGAUGGUAUCUCAAGAGUAAGCCCCGGCUAACUACGUG
rnacentral:rRNA from 1 species